rnacentral:rRNA from 1 species
UACGGAGGGAGCUAGCGUUGUUCGGAAUUACUGGGCGUAAAGCGCGCGUAGGCGGCUUUGUAAGUUAGAGGUGAAAGCCCGGAGCUCAACUCCGGAACUGCCUUUAAAACUGCAUCGCUUGAAUCCAGGAGAGGUGAGUGGAAUUCCGAGUGUAGAGGUGAAAUUCGUAGAUAUUCGGAAGAACACCAGUGGCGAAGGCGGCU